rnacentral:rRNA from 1 species
GGGUAGUUAAGUCAGAAGUGAAAUCCAAUAGCUCAACUAUUGAACUGCUUUUGAAACUGAUUACCUAGAAUAUGGGAGAGGUAGAUGGAAUUUCUGGUGUAGGGGUAAAAUCCGUAGAGAUCAGAAGGAAUACCGAUUGCGAAGGCGAUCUACUGGAACAUUAUUGACGCUGAGACGCGAAAGCGUGGGGAGCAAACAGGAUUAGAUACCCUGGUAGUCCACGCCCUAAACGAUGUACACUAGUUGUUGUGAGGCUCGACCUUGCAGUAAUGCAGUUAACACAUUAAGUGUACCGCCUGGGGAGUACGGUCGCAAGAUUAAAACUCAAAGGAAUAGACGGGGACCCGCACAAGCGGUGGAGCAUGUGGUUUAAUUCGACGAUACACGAAGAACCUUACCUGGACUUGACAUAGUAAGAACUUUCUAGAGAUAGAUUGGUGUCUGCUUGCAGAAACUUAUAUACAGGUGCUGCACGGCUGUCGUCAGCUCGUGUCGUGAGAUGUUGGGUUAAGUCCCGCAACGAGCGCAACCCUCGUCAUUAGUUGCUAACAGUUCGGCUGAGAACUCUAAUGAGACUGCCUACGCAAGUAGGAGGAAGGUGAGGACGACGUCAAGUCAUCAUGGCCCUUACGUCCAGGGCUACACACGUGCUACAAUGGGGUAUACAAAGAGCCGCAAUACGGUGACGUGGAGCAAAUCUCAAAAAUAUCUCCCAGUUCGGAUUGUAGUCUGCAACUCGACUACAU